UACGUAGGGAGCGAGCGUUAUCCGGAUUUACUGGGUGUAAAGGGUGCGUAGGCGGCCUGGCAAGUCAGAAGUGAAAUUUAGGGGCUCAACCUCUAAACUGCUUCUGAAACUACCGGGCUAGAGUGCAGGAGAGGAAAGCGGAACUCCACGUGUAGCGGUGAAAUGCGUAGAGAUGUGGAGGAACACCAGUAGCGAAGGCGGCUUUCUGGACUGUAACUGACGCUGAGGCACGAAAGCGUGGGGAGCAAACAGGAUUAGAUACCCUGGUAGU
rnacentral:rRNA from 1 species